ACCCUCCCGUUCCAUUUUUUAUCAGAUCUGGACAACGAUUUUGGUGAUUCUUAAAGGAGGAGUAGUAAAUACUGAAACUGACCUCAUAGGACUCAUAAUCUACCAUGUAGCACAUUGGCUAAUUUAAAACAAGC
ensembl:snoRNA